rnacentral:rRNA from 1 species
CCUACGGGGGGCAGCAGUGAGGAAUAUUGGUCAAUGGACGAGAGUCUGAACCAGCCAAGUAGCGUGAAGGAUGACUGCCCUAUGGGUUGUAAACUUCUUUUAUAUGGGAAUAAAAUGUUCCACGUGUGGGAUUUUGUAUGUACCAUAUGAAUAAGGAUCGGCUAACUCCGUGCCAGCAGCCGCGGUAAUACGGAGGAUCCGAGCGUUAUCCGGAUUUAUUGGGUUUAAAGGGAGCGUAGGUGGAUUGUUAAGUCAGUUGUGAAAGUUUGCGGCUCAACCGUAAAAUUGCAGUUGAAACUGGCAGUCUUGAGGACAGUAGAGGUGGGCGGAAUUCGUGGUGUAGCGGUGAAAUGCUUAGAUAUCACGAAGAACUCCGGUUGCGAAGGCAGUUCACUGGACUGCAACUGACACUGAGGCUCGAAAGUGUGGGUAUCAAACAGGAUUAGAUACCCUUGUAGUC